UUGCUAACAUUUAUAACCACAUAUGACAAUGUUGUAAUUUUUGGUUGAGCUUUCAGACGUAGUUUAGCAAAGUCAGGGAUGAGGAAAGAGUCUACUGUAUUUAUGCGUAGGUGUGCGUGUCAUGCUCCCCCUUCCGCAAGUUCCAGGGUUUUCUUCUUUUGUGGUUGCCAUUCUGCUUAGAGAACUUGCAUGAGCCUUUCUUUUGGUGUGGGCCUUCUGGUGACUAAUUCCGUUUUACUUCCUCUGAGAAUGUUUUGCUUUCCUUUGCAUUCCCGAAGGACAUUUUUGCUGGAUAUAAGAAUUCUGGGUUAAUGGUUCUUUUCAUCAUUUGAAAAAUAUUUUAUACUUUCAGCUGGCCUCCAUGGUAUCUGAUGAGAAAUUCGCUGUCAUUUGACUUGUUAAUCCACGAUAGUUAAGAUGUGAAUGAACUGAAGGAGUGUCUUUCUGUGCUGGUUAAAGAGCAGCAGGCCCUGGCUGUCCAGUCUGCCGCCACCACCCUCUCAGCCCCGAGACUCCAGCACAGGCUGCUGAUCUUGGAGCGCUAUUUCGUUGCCUUGAAGAGAACCGUUUUUCAGGAGAAUGUCAAAGUUAAGUGGAAAAGCAGCAGCAUUUCUCUGCCUCCUGUGGACAAAAACGGAGAUGCUUCUGGGCCAGGCACGGUGGCUCACACCUGUAAUCCCAGCACUUUGGGAGGCCAAGGCGGGCAGAUCACCUGAGGUCAGGAGUUCGAGAUCUGACCAACAUGGAGAAACCUCGUGUCUACUAAAAAUUAAAAAAUUAGCUGGGACGUGGUGGCGCAUGCCUGUAAUCCCAGCGACUCAGGAGGCUGAGGCAGGAGAAUGGCAUGAACCCAGGAGGCAGGGGUUGUGUCCCUCCGUUCGGGGUCCCUGACUUCCCGCAACAACUACCAUGGAACACUGAUUCAGACUUAAUUCUAGAAGAACAAGAAGUGACUGUGUUGCUCAUGUGACAGCCGUGAAACACAGAAUUGACUGGAACAGCUGCGCUGGAUUUGGGCCUGUUGAGUGAGGGAUUGGAAAGGGACAGUGGCGUCUUCUCUCACUGAGGGGUGGGAAGCCCAGCGGGAGAGUAAGGGGAGUCGGGGGGCUCCUCUGACAUGUGUGUGCGUCCAGGCGAGGAUGCGGACCUCUGCAGUGAGCUGCCGCAGGAGUCCCUGGACGCCCGGCGAGCACUUCCCGAGGCCUCGCUCUUCGAGGAGAGCACCGCGUCCUCUGUGUGGCUGGAGGUGGUGGAGAGAGCGACCAGGUUCCUCGGGUGUGUCGUGACGGGGUGAGUUCUUUCCUUUCUUGCCUUCUGCACGCAGACAGCUGGCCUGCUGGAGGCUGGUUCUUACCACCCUUGCUUUAGAGCUAAGAAGCCUAGUAGGUUGGUUUCUCACCUCUGUUUUCAGCAGGCUCUCGGUGCUGAUUCCGGGUCUGGGUUCUCAGCUUUCCAGGCAGUUUGAUUCAUGAUCCUCUGACGAGACUCAGGAAGCUGUGAUACUAAAUGAUACGGAGAGGGAGGAUGCUUAGAGAUUUGGCCAUCAGUCAUUCGUGGAGGGUUGAGCGCCGACAUUGUGCGUCUCUCUGUGAUGAUUAGGAGCUGCUGUUCUGAGUACAGAGUGGUGCUUGGCUUGAAGUCUUAUAGAUAAUGUAGGAGAAAACAACUACUCAAGAUCAAAUUGUUUAGUCCUGUAGCUGGUCUUUCUAGUAUGAAAAAUUUUGAAUAGGAAUCAGUUGUAUGUAAGGAAAAACAUGAACUCUGGUCGUGGGUGCUAGGCAUUCUUGUUAAGGUUUUUAAAUGUAAAGAAAAUCUAAAAUUCAACAGGAAGGACCGUGCAGAGGAAAAGUGAAG
rnacentral:lncRNA from 10 species